GACGAACCGUGCGAACGUUGUUCGGAAUCACUGGGCUUAAAGGGCGCGUAGGCGGGCUGCCAAGUCUGGGGUGAAAUCCCACGGCUCAACCGUGGAACUGCCUCGGAUACUGGCGGCCUCGAGGGGGGUAGGGGCAUGCGGAACUGUGGGUGGAGCGGUGAAAUGCGUUGAUAUCCACAGGAACUCCGGUGGCGAAGGCGGCAUGCUGGACCUCUACUGACGCUGAGGCGCGAAAGCCAGGGGGGCAAACGGG
rnacentral:rRNA from 1 species